GGCUGGUCCGAUGUCAGUGGGUUAUCAGAACUUACUAACAUUAGUGUCACUGAAGCUGGUAUACAACUCCCCACUGCUAAAUCUGACUGGCUUUAC
ensembl:misc_RNA Y_RNA Y RNA